CCUUCUUGAAGGUGGUGAUCUUUUUUUUCUUCUUAUAAUAUUAAUCAGCAGCUAGAUGAUUGUCCAAACCAUAGACAUAGCAGAACCUUCCAUCAUUAUUCUUCUUAAUUAGUCCCUUUUGGCUGAUUGAGUUUAGGUUUACCUUUAAGAUCUUUAUCCUUUGGCUUAAAAUUUCUUCCCUUAAGUUUAAAGUUGUAGUUUUGAAAUUGUCUAGAUUGGUGGCCCUUAAAGUUAUGAUUCUCAUCUUG
rnacentral:lncRNA from 1 species